rnacentral:ribozyme from 13 species
AGAAGAAGAAAGUGGAAUUGUCAAGAGAGGAACAUUUGUGGGUCUCUCUUCCUCCGGUCCUUUCUUUUUUUUCUUCUUUCCA